rnacentral:rRNA from 1 species
CCUACGGGAGGCAGCAGUAGGGAAUAUUGCUCAAUGGGGGAAACCCUGAAGCAGCAACGCCGCGUGGAGGAUGAAGGUUUUAGGAUUGUAAACUCCUUUUGUGAGAGAAGAUAAUGACGGUAUCUCACGAAUAAGCACCGGCUAACUCCGUGCCAGCAGCCGCGGUAAUACGGAGGGUGCAAGCGUUACUCGGAAUCACUGGGCGUAAAGAGUGCGUAGGCGGGCUUGUAAGUCAGAUGUGAAAUCCUGUAGCUUAACUACAGAACUGCAUUUGAAACUAUGAGUCUAGAGUGUGGGAGAGGUAGGUGGAAUGCUUGGUGUAGGGGUGAAAUGCGUAGAUAUCAAGAGGAAUACUCAUUGCGAAGGCGACCUACUGGAACAUUACUGACGCUCAUGCACGAAAGCGUGGGGAGCAAACAGGAUUAGAUACCCGGGUAGUC